rnacentral:rRNA from 1 species
CUACAAUGAAUUGACGGGGGCCCGACACAAGCGGAGGAACAUUGUGGUUUAAUUCGAUGAUACGCGAGGAACCUUACCUGGGCUUAAAUGUAGAGUGCAUUUUCUAGAGAUAGGAAUUCCCUUCGGGGCUUUCUACAAGGUGCUGCAUGGUUGUCGUCAGCUCGUGCCGUGAGGUGUCGGGUUAAGUCCCAUAACGAGCGCAACCCUUAUCGUUAGUUGCCAUCUGGUAAAGCAGGGGACUCUAGCGAAACUGCCACCGUAAGGUGAGAGGAAGUGGGAUGACGUCAAAUCAGCACGGCCCUUAUGUCCAGGGCUACACACGUGUUACAAUGGUCGGUACAGAGGGCAGCUACCUGGUGACAGGAUGCUAAUCUCGAAAACCGGCCUCAGUUCGGAUCGAAGUCUGCAACUCGACUUCGUGAAGCUGGAUUCGCUAGUAAUCGCGCAUCAGCCAUGGCGCGGUCGAAUACGUUCCCGGGCCUU